rnacentral:rRNA from 1 species
GACGAACGCUGGCGGCGUGCCUAAUACAUGCAAGUUGAGCGCUGAAGGUUGGUCCUUGUACCAACUGGAUGAGCAGCGAACGGGUGAGUAACGCGUGGGGAAUCUGCCUUUGAGCGGGGGACAACAUUUGGAAACGAAUGCUAAUACCGCAUAAAAACUUUAAACACAAGUUUUAAGUUUGAAAGAUGCAAUUGCAUCACUCAAAGAUGAUCCCGCGUUGUAUUAGCUAGUCGGUGAGGUAAAGGCUCACCAAGGCGAUGAUACAUAGCCGACCUGAGAGGGUGAUCGGCCACAUUGGGACUGAGACACGGCCCAAACUCCUACGGGAGGCAGCAGUAGGGAAUCUUCGGCAAUGGACGAAAGUCUGACCGAGCAACGCCGCGUGAGUGAAGAAGGGUGUCGGAUCGUAAAACUCUGUUGGUAGAGAAGAACGUUGGUGAGAGUGGAAAGCUCAUCAAGUGACGGUAACUACCCAGAAAGGGACGGCUAACUACGUG